rnacentral:rRNA from 1 species
AUACGUAGGGGGCAAGCGUUAUCCGGAUUUACUGGGUGUAAAGGGAGCGCAGACGGCAAUGCAAGUCUGAAGUGAAAGCUCGCGGCUCAACCGCGGAACUGCUUUGGAAACUGUAUAGCUUGAGUACCGGAGGGGUGAGCGGAAUUCCUAGUGUAGCGGUGAAAUGCGUAGAUAUUAGGAGGAACACCAGUGGCGAAGGCGGCCUGCUGGACGACAACUGACGCUGAGGCGCGAAAGCGUGGGGAGCAAACAGGAUUAGAUACCCUGGUAGUCCACGCUGUAAACGAUGAAUACUAGGUGUGGGGGGACUGACCCCCUCCGUGCCGCAGUUAACACAAUAAGUAUUCCACCUGGGGAGUACGAUCGCAAGAUUGAAACUCAAAUGAAUUGGCGGGG